rnacentral:sRNA from 14 species
ACUGGUCUUCGGUCAAGGGUAUACAAGUAGUUGUGCUCCCCUGUUAGAACCUCUAAACAAGCUCUCAAGGUCCAUUGUAGGAACGUAGGGUAGUCAAGC